UAAAAUUGAAAAUUAACCGAAGACAGCAGGUGCGAAAGCUUAAUUUCCUGCCGAGGUACAAUAUAAAAUAUUGACCUCGCUUAGACGAGGUUUUUUUA
rnacentral:sRNA from 1 species